rnacentral:lncRNA from 1 species
UUCAACUUUUUUCUCUUCUCUAUCUACUCACUUGAGAGAACCCCAACUCUCUCAAAACUUUUCUCUUUUCUCUUUCUGGUGUGGAAUCCUCAUCUUCUUUUUCAUCUUCUACCUAUUUCCCCAUUAUAUCUAUAAUUAUCUCUUGGAUUUUCGACGGUAGGUGGUGGAUUAAGACGGCUUAAAUCGAGAAAAGCAAUAUUACGAUUUGAGUGGUGGAUCGGAAAGAAAUUUUUUAAAGAAGCAAUAUUCUCGGUGAUAAGGUUAGUUUAUUUAAAGUUUUAUUAGUAAUAAUUUUAUAAUAUUUGCAGUUAUUUUAAGUUCUAUAUAUUAUAUUGCUUUUUAUUUAUUCAAUUUAAUAGUCAGAUGUUUAUUUAUGGUUUGUUUUUAAGAUUAAAUGUGUAAUUUAUAUUUUAAAAGAUUAUUUAAUUUGUUUGAUUUUAAGAUAAUGUGGCAAGUAUUUGUUUGAUUUUUAGAUUAUGUGACAAGUGUGUUUGUUUCAUGAUAAUUUACAUUUUUGAAGACGAUUUGUUUGAUUUUAGAAUUAAUUUUAUAGAGGUAGUAGUCUUUUAGGUGAAUGAUGAAUAAAAGGUGAAUGAUAAAUACUAAUAAAUGGUGAAUGAUGCCAAAUAUACUGUCAAUAGAUGAUAAAUGGUGAAUGAUGCCAUUAAGUCGUAAGUCAGUAGAUGAUAAAAGGUGAACAAUGAAUAAUAAUAAAUGAUGAAUGGUAAAUGGUAAAUAGUAAAUAGUAGUAAAUGAUAAAUGGUAAAUAGUAAAUAGUAAAAAGUACGUGGUAAAUGGUAAAUAAUAAAUAGUAAAUAGUAAAUAGUAAGUGGUUAAAAUUAAAUAGUAAAAAUAACAAUAAUGCAAUAUGAGAUAGUGAGAUAGUAACUGAUAAUUUAAUAGUACCAGUACUAUUAAUAUAUGGUUUAGUAAUAUUAAUAAGAAUAAUAACUAGUAAAUAAUACUAAUAUUUUUAAAAAUAUAAGUUACAAUAAUUUACAUUAUACAAUCAUAGUCUAAUAGUAACUAUGAUUAAUUAAAGAAGAACUAUUAUUCUAACAGUUUGAAUAAUAUUGUCGCGCCCCAUUUUUUGAUAAAUAAAUAAAAUGGUUUAAAAAUAUAUUUUUUGAUUCAAUUUGUGAUUGAAAAAUGAAUUGUGAUUUAAAAGAAAAAAUGGGUCUAAAUGGGGGAUUGAGAAUGCGACGAUUUGACCCAAAAUUAUAGUUUAAAAAGGGUUUUUUGAAAUAAAAAUUGGAGUCACCACUUGGUAAUGAGUUAAGGUGUACCAAGUCACCAAAAAAUGAAUUUUUAAAGAAAAAAUCAGAAAAAGUAGAAAGAAACCCCUUUUAAACGACUCCUAGUCCACGUAAACCAAAGAAAAAGGUUCGGGAGUCACAUUUGACAAAGGGGAAGGCAAGGAAAAAAUUCAAGGCACCCCUUUGACCUAACCAAGGCUAGUUGCAUGAUUUAAUCAAAGAUUUUCUUGUUUUAACCAAAGAAUUUAUUACAUUUGGAUGCACUACAUGAAUGCAAAUCCUAGACCUAGGGAUAUUGGGGAAAUUUCUCUUCAAAGGUUGAGUGGUGCCAAUCACAUUAAUUGUGAAACCCAAUAACGAUCCUUUGAAGAAAUCACGAAUAAUGCGAGUGAGAUGCAAAUGAAUGGAAUGCAUGUAUGCAAUGUGAGGACAUGAGUUUGAAAAAGUAAUAAAAGGCAAUAAAUAUGUAAAUGAAAAUGUGCACGUGAGUGGGCAAGGUACGGUAUGUGAAAUGAUAAUAUGAAGUGCAUGUGUGCAAGUGAUGAUAAAAGUGUUCGUGUGCAAGUGAAGAAACAUAAAGGUGCAUGUGUGCAAAAUGUGAGGAAAAAUGAAAGUGUGAUGAGAGUAUAAAAUGGUAGAGUGGAUUUAAAAAAUGCAUGAGCCUAGGGAAUUCAUGCAUAUUGGGUACGGGGAGACCUAAAUCGUGACUCAAUUUGCCCUUUUAUAGAGGGAAUACAAGCGUGCUAAGGCUUAGAAGAAGCCACACUCGUCUAUAUCCCAUAUUUAAGGGGACUCGUCAAGCAAAUGUCACUAUAACUAGCAUGAGAUGCAAAAACCUAAAAUGAAAGGGAAAGGAUCGGAGGAACAUACCAAAUGCUAAAAAACUAAGAAAAAAUGCAUGAAAUGAAGUGAAACAUGCAAGUAUGGACUCACGAGAGAAAUCCCUAAGGGUCUAGCGUUGGACUAGCCCAUUCUAUGAAUUCCUACUAGCGUUGGACUAGUGGAAACGUACAUUCAUCCAUCACAUUCAUUCAUGGCUAUGGAAAGCGAGUAGACAUGCCAAACACCCAUAAACACAUAGCACAUAACAUUUAGCAUGCUUGACUAGAUGCAAGAGCCUAAUAAAACAAAUUAACACAUAGCAACAAAAGCAAGCAAUCAAGCUAAUGAACCUAUUACAUUUGCUAGCUAGGCACAUGUCUUCAAUAGGUCUUCAUCAAGUGCUCCUCCAAGUCCUAUCUAUUACAAGCCAAGAGGUGUACACAUACCCCAUAAAUAGAAUAACUUAACGAAAAGCAAGAGUAAAUGAAAUAAAAGGAAUUAAGGAAAAACUAGUAAAGCAAGUAGACAUGCAAUUCUCACGUAGCACGUUGGAUCACAUAAGAGAGACAAAAAAGAUAAAAGAAAUUAUACCGCCUCCUUUUGUGGUGCUAAUAGGGUGGACAAGACUUAAAUGGCUUAUUUAUCCUCCAAAAUAAAAGAAAUGGUUAAGGUACCAAUUUAUUUGGGAAAAUUAAAGAAAAUAGGCAAACACAAGCUCAUUUAGACACAAAGUUCACAAAUUCAUGCAAUUAAGCACCACCUUAACAAAACAUGAUCAUUAAUGAAAGCAAACAAGCAAUCGAAUUGAAAAAUUGAGGCUACCAAGGACUCAAUUGUGAACAUUAACCAAGCACUCAAGCCUAAUUAAACAUUUUAGGAACUUCAAGGGCCAAGAGCAAAGAAAAGGUCAAGUAAAGGUUAAAAUGCAACUACUUCUAGGACCAAAUUGCAAGAUAUUGGAAUGUAAUUGGGCCUUUGUAGCAUAAAGGGAAGCUUGGGGGUUAAAAGGCAAUUUUUUGGAAACUUUUCAUGCAUGCAACGAUAACUAAAGCCUUCAUUACUUCUGCAAUUCACGUAUGAAGCUUUCUGCAGUUUUUUCUUUUCCAGCCACGGCUUUUUCUUUCCAUUUCAUCAUGUACACCAGAUUUGAUUCAAAUAUACGGCUUUGAUCAGAUAUUUUUCAACCCAACAUCACAACCUUAAACCAAGUAAAAGACUACAUAAUGAUCACAAUCCAAAUGACCAGAAAACAUGGAAAUAUAUCAUACCAAAACUCUGAAACAUACAUGCAGAAAUGGUUUCGGCAGCCUGCUUGUUUGCAUUUCAGCAAGGUGUUCGAUCAUGAUUCAUUUGUUUUAGACCCUAGGCAUGCAAACUCAAACACUACUUAUCUAAUUUCUUCCUUUUCAGAACAAGAUUAACUAGCACAUUAGAUGACAAAGCUCACUUGACGAGCUGUUGCGGAGAAGAAAACAGCAGAGGUAUAGGAACGGAUGCAGCAGUUUUUUUCUACUUCAGCCUAGAUAUGUUUGUGUGUGAGAACUCAAACAAACUCUACGCAUUUGACAGCCCAAACCGAAUGUAAUUCGCACAAAACAAUAAGCCACCACCUGAUCUACUUGCUUUACAAUGCAACAAAAGAAUCAAUCAAGCAAAAGGAGCCUGCGAAGUAACGAAGCAAAUUUUCUGCUACAGCAUUCAUCCAGAGUUAUUUUUGCAACUUUAAGCUCUCAAAUACAGGGUUCAUAGGAGACUUCAAACAAAAGCCAGCAAAGACCAAAACUUUCACAACCAGCAAUAAAAAAC